AUUGAACGCUGGCGGCAUGCCUUACACAUGCAAGUCGAACGGCAGCACGGUAGCUUCCACCUGGUAGCGAGUGGCGGACGGGGGCGUAUUACAUCGGCACCUGUCCCGUCGUUUGGGUGAGGGCGGAGGAAGCGGGACUAAUACCGCAACCGCAUUACGGCUGCAAGCGAGAGACCUUGGGCCUCGGCGCUUUAGCGUUUGACGAUGGCGGAUUAGCUAGUUGGUGGGGUAAAGGCCUACCAAGGCGACGAUCAGUAGCUGGUCUGAGAGGAUGAUCAGCCACACUGGAACUGAGACACGGUCCAGACUCCUACGGGAGGCAGCAGUGGGGAAUAUUGGACAAUGGGCGAAAGCCUGAUCCAGCCAUGCCGCGUGGGUGAAGAAGGCCUUCGGGUUGUAAAGCACUUUUGUCCGGAAAGAAAAGCAGGAGGUUAAUACGGUGGGGGGAUGACGGUACCGGAAGAAUAAGCACCGGCUAACUUCGUG
rnacentral:rRNA from 1 species